CCUACGUGUGGCAGCCGUGGGGAAUAUUGCACAAUGGGGGAAACCCUGAUGCAGCGACGCCGCGUGAGGGAAGAAGUAAUUCGUUACGUAAAGCUCUAUCAGCAGGGAAGAAAAUGACGGUACCUGUGUAAGAAGCCCCGGCUCAAUACGUGACAGCCGCCGCGGUAAUAUGUAGGGGGCAAGCGUUAUCCGGAUUUACUGGGUGUAAAGGGGGCGUAGACGGUGCGACAAGUCUGGAGUGAAAUGCCGCAGCUGAACUGCGGCCCUGCUUUGGAAACUGGCGAACUGGAGUGCGGGAGGGGGAAGCGGAAUUCCGGGUGUAGCGGUGAAAUGCGUAGAUAUUAGGAGGAACACCGGGGGCGAAGGCGGCUUACUGGACCGCAACUGACGUUGAGGCUCGAAAGCGUGGGGAGCAAACAGGAUUAGAUACCCCUGUAGUC
rnacentral:rRNA from 1 species